GAGGAUGCUUCCGACUUUGAAUAGGAGAUCAGAGGCAUGAUCCGACAGCUGGAAUCUCAUCUGAAGUGCGAUCAGAUGGUUAGAAUUGCAUCCGACUUUGAUAAGGAUUAAAACAUGGAUUUUUGAGCUGAUCUGGGUGGUCCAAAGGCGAUCCGACGGUCAGAAAUUAAUGUAAAGGAUAUUAUAUGAAUUCUAAGAG
rnacentral:lncRNA from 1 species